rnacentral:misc_RNA from 1 species
GGAGGGAUCAUUAACACUAUUUGGCUUGUUCACAUGUUUCACGACAUGAGUCAAGUUCAAAUUUCCACACACAUUGUGAACUCGUUGGUUACCUUCUCGUCAAACAGAAGUCAACUGACCUAACAUAACUGCCUCAAGGGUAAGGUUGCGGAUGCGACUGAGUGAACGAUUUUCAUUCUCACGAAUGAGAAACGUAGCUCCACUUCCAUCUCUUGACUGUAGUUUUUUUGGGAGAUGUGACAUUCACACGUCUCGGCCCCCUUUGCCAUCACUAUAAACCAAUUGACUGAUUUAAAAGAUUAACGGAAACGUUUUGAUCUUUCUAUAUAAAAUAAGAGCACAACUCUUAGCAACGGAUAUCUUGGUUCUCGCAACGAUGAAGAACGCAGCGAAAUGCGAUAUGUAAUGCGAAUUGCAGAAUUCAGUGAAUCAUCAAAUCUUUGAACGCAAAUGGCGCUCUCGGGAUAGACCCAAGAGCACGCCUCUCUCAGUAUCGGUGAACUUCAAUCUCUCAACUCUCUUAGCUUGCUAAGUAGAGGCGAGGAAAAUGAGUGUCUUCUAACUGUGCAUGUCAAAAGUGCUACGACCGGAAGUUACUUGAAAUUCACUUGUAACGAGUCGCUUUCAAUCUCUCCUAGUACCUUUUCUAAUCUCUCGAGAUUUGAAAAUAGCCUUCAUUGGUUUUUCCUUGUAUUAGUGACGUGGAUAAUUGAAACGUUUCUAGUAUAUUGAAUAUCAUUAAAGGUGAAAGACCUGGUGAGCGACAGCGUAUAAAAUUCAUCGAAGUAUGGAGUUGAAAACACUUAGGUGUUUUGAACAAAAUAUAGUAGAUGUUCUUUUUUCUCAUUCGAUCUGAGAUGAAGCGAGACUACUCCCUGAAUUUAAGCAUAUUAUUAAGGGAAGGACAAGAAAAUAACAAUGAUCACCUUAGUAACGGCGAGUGAAGCGGUGAUAGCUCAAAUUGAAAAUCCAGGAUCUAAACAGGUCUUUGGAAUUGUAUCCUAGUCGACGUGCUAUCAGCGUGUGACUCAAGUACAAGUCCUUUGGAAAAAGGCAUCAAAGAGGGUGAGAAUCCCGUCUCUGACUUGAGCAAUACAAUUCACCGCGUACGAUGCAUGUUCAUCGAGUCGAGUUGUUUGGGAUUGCAGCUCUAAAUGGGUGGUAAGUUUCAUCUAAAGCUAAAUAUAGGCGAGAGACCGAUAGCGAACAAGUACCGUGAGGGAAAGAUGAAAAGAACUUUGAAAAGAGAGUUAAAAAGUACUUGAAAUUGCUAAGAGGGAAGCGCUAGAAACCAGUGUAUUGUACCAUUGUCAUUUUGCCUAUUGAGAAAGGGAUCGCAGUGUGUCCAGUUGGCAACUCUGGUAGUGCUGUGUAUUUUUGGAUCAGUGGGUCCUGUGAUGGUGGGAUGUCAGAAUGAGUUAGAAUUGCAGGAGAAGCUGUUGGGAAAGGUAGGUUAGUAGCAAUACUAGCUGUUAUAGUCCUGGCAGAAUACUGUGAUUUUGACUGAGGAACUUCAUGGUGCGCCACUAGGCAUGGGACUUCGUUUCUAAUGGGUCACACUGUUCUAUGACAAUGUCAUAUUGUGAGUGUUGGUUUGUUAUUGGGCGGAUCUCCCAUUUGCAUCGUAUGUUGAUUCUGACUAAAUGGUUUCUAUCGACCCGUCUUGAAACACGGACCAAGGAGUUUAACAUAUAUGCAAGUAUUUGGGUGAAAAACCCUAUAAUGCGCAAUGAAAGUAAAGGUAGCUUGCUACUGUGGUAGGAAACCUAAUGCCUCGUGCAUGGGUGGCACUAUCGACCGAUCCUCACUUGUGAGCCGAUUUGAGUAAGAGCAUAUCUGUUGGGACCCGAAAGAUGGUGAUCUAUGCCUGAACAGGGUGAAGCCAGGAGAAAUUCUGGUGGAGGCUCGUAGCGAUACUGACGUGCAAAUCGUUCGUCUGAUUUGGGUAUAGGGGCGAAAGACUAAUCGAACUAUCUAGUAGCUGGUUCCCUC